GGAGGAGGCGAAGUACAGAGGAAGAAGGAGGCACUGCUAAUGGGUACAAGGUUUUUUCUUGGUACAAGGAGUUCAACAUUCUGUGCUUCUGCAGCCGUCUAAAAUCAGCUGGAAAGGUUUAAGACCCCAUUUCCUGCUCUCGCAGGGACUGUCCUGCUGCUGUCCCCCUCUCCUCUCCUUGCAGUAGGCGGGUGUUUCUCUUCCUAUGUGAGGAGCGCCCGCACCGGAGGGCAGUGUCACCCCUAGACCGGGCAAGAGAGACCACCAUGUGAGGUGUCCAUGGACCCAAGGAAGAGGUCUAUGAAGAGCCUGCAGUCACCUGCCAGACAGUUUUCCCUCACCAAACUGUCCCCUUCAGAGCUGAGGACUGGAUCUUCCCAUGCUGACACCUCCAGUGGGAAAGAAAGUUCUAGAUUCAGCUCUGGGUGUCCAAGUCAUUAUGGAGGUAUAUUUGUCAAGGUGGAAGAAAAAGACAUAUUCUGUUUAGCAGUUUGUAAGUUUGAUUAAUCACUUUAAACUAUUUGGACCUAU